UGGGAAGUGUCACGUUGUGGAAUGUUUCAGGAAGCUGGAACAUGGACGGUCUAAACGCUGGUUUUGCAUCCUGAGUUUGAAAUAUCCUUGAGCGGGACUUUAAUGAGACGUGGCUGACAGCGGGCAGUGCUCAUUUUUUGUCCUCUGAGAUGCGUUUCCACAUUAUCACCGCAGCUUUUCUCUGGGCUGCGUUUGUGGAAUCGCGGAAAAUCCGAGGAAUAUCUUCGUCCUAUAAAAGGUUCUACAGGGAGAGGAAGUCAUUUCUGUGCAUAGACGGGUCCAAAAUAAUUCCUUUCGAGCAGGUGAACGACGACUACUGCGACUGCGCAGAUGGGUCUGAUGAACCAGGCACCUCAGCGUGUCCUCGCGGUCGGUUCUACUGCACCAACCUGGGUUUCAGGCCGCAUUACAUCCCAUCUUCUAGAGUCAAUGAUGGCAUCUGCGAUUGCUGCGACGCUUCAGAUGAGUACAACAGCCACGCUCGCUGCCAGAACACUUGCUGGAAUCUGGGACAGAAAGAGCGGGCGUACGUGGAGGGUCAGAUGAAGACCUUGGAUGAGGGUUUGAGACUCAAGCAGCAGCUGAUUGAGGAGGGUGUGCUGCUCUGGAGGGAAAAACAGGCGCAGCUCAGAGAGCUUCAGCGGGCUGCUGAAGAUCUGCAGAUCAAAUUAGAGGAGCACAGAAAGCGGAAACAUGAAGCUGACCGACUCAAAGAACAAACAUUAAAGGCUUUGAAAGGCGGGGAUAAAGAUGUACGGCCUGAGUCAUCCUCCUGCGGUUUUAGGCAACAGAAUAGCACCGUAUCUCACCUUUUCCAACUACUGGACAGCAAUAAAGAUGGCAGUAUAUCGUUGGAUGAAGUCAAGGCUAAGGUGGUGCUUGUCCGUGAUGAGACCAGGGUUCUCUCCGAGGAUGAAGCACUGACUUUGCUGGGUGGAGGCCACCAAAUGGAUCUGAGCAAGUUUCAAAACACCCUCUGGGACGUCCUAAUACGAGGCGAUGACUACAAGAUCAAAGACGCCCACAGUGCCCCAGGUGGUCUCAUGAGUGAAGAUCCUCACUUAAAGGCAGCUGACAGAGCUGCAGAGUGGGAGGCUACCAACUUGAAGAAGGUGGAGGAAGCCUACGAGACAGUCAACAUGGAAAUAAGUGAUCUACAGAAGAAGCUGGAAAUAGACUAUGGGACAGAUUGGGAGUAUUUGUUUCUGAACGGCCAGUGCUACAAGCUGAACGUGUACGAGUACAUGUAUACCCUGUGCCCAUUCAAUAUGGUCUCACAAAAGAGCACAGCAGGAACAGAGGUCUCAUUAGGGUUGUGGGGAAUGUGGGCAGGACCAGCAAAGAACCACUACAGUCAGAUGGUGUAUGAGAACGGAGAGCCAUGCUGGCAAGGAGGAUCUCGCACUACUUCUGUCACUCUGACGUGCGGAACGGAGACAGCCCUGCGAUCGGUGAAGGAACCCAGCAAAUGCCAGUACAUCAUGGACUUUGAGACUCCGGUGGCCUGUCAGCCGGUGCUGAAGCAGAGGGGCGUGCACAGUGAACUGUGACCUCCCCUUCCCUUUGCCACCUCAGCCUGGAAUAACUUGGACCCCUGCCCUUGUUGGCUUGCCCACAGUGACAGGCCGGGGUCCUGAGGGUCCCCUCUGACAUCUGUGUUGUCAGAACGUAUAUACUUCCAAGCAAGUUUGACUGAGUUUUAUCCUUCCUGUGGAUGUGGCUUCCUCAACGGUAAAAAUAGACCUCACAGAGGCACACCCCAAAGUCAGUCGAGUCAGACCUCAUUAUUCCAACGGGUGGAUAUCAAGUGGACGUACGAAACUCAUACCGCAUGCAUGUGUCGACACACCAUAAUGAUCCAGAUGUGCGGCACACAAACAGCCAUGCUGAGCCUUCAUCAGGGCCUCAUCAACACACUCAGUGGGACGUUUCAGUCUGCCAGGAGAGUCUGCUUCCAGGCCCGUCCUCAUCUCGGAGACUGCAGCUCCACUUGCUUUGGGGAAAUCAGUCGAGCAGCAGCAAGGCGAAGGAGAAAAUGAAACCAAAACAGUAAACACAACAAUUAUCUGCUACAGAAGAUCCACCGGCGCCUCGAGAAGUUGUGAAAGUGUCGGGAAGAGGUCCGAACUUACAGUCGCUCCGUGAGGGGAAACUGACAGUCUUGUGGAAUUGGAGCUGCAGCUGCUUCACAACUCCAGCGGGACUCUCUACCCGACGAGAUUUCCUGGGGAUUUCACUCAAGUGCAGAGCAGAGAUGAGUUUCGGGGACUAAUUACAGCAGAUAAUCCCAACUGUGCAACACUCCCUGACAUUACUUCUUCUUUUUUUCUUUUUUUUUUUUCCACAGGUAACUGGUAAGACGAGGUUCUCUUGGGAAUCCUAAUGAUAUGUUGGUAUAGUGAAAAUUCUGCAGUUUAUUAAUUUAUACAGUAAAUAGCUGCACUGAGGAAAACCUUACGUCAAUAUUUUCACUGAAAUAUGUUUGUUAAAUAAUUUCAAAGGAGAAAAACAAAAACCCCAAAUGAUCAGGCUGAGAAAGUUUGAGUUGUGGUUUAAAUCCAUUAAGAAAAAAAUAAUUUCUGAUCAACUAAACUCUUUCCAAACUAUGUGAACUAGCAUAACCAGGAGUUGCCUACAGAUAGAUAGAAAUGUGAUUAUGUAACUCUAACAUAAUUGAUAUGUUAGAGUUUCCCCUCAUGGGGAGCUGAACGGAGUAAAUGCCACCGUGUAAAAUCUUCAAAUGCUACUUUAUAAAUAGAAAUUAGAAGUGAGAUAUUUGAAUUUUCAAUAAAAAAGAUGAACUGGAAUACAAAUGUUGAAUGCAUUGUCUUAGAAUGAUCAAAUCAGGAAUCAGUUUCUAUGCCAUUAGCCCAUCUGCAUGUUUAACCGUUGACUUGACAUGGAAAUAAGCAACAGAAAACAUAUCGCCCCGGCCAGAGAGCCUUGUUGUACCUAUCAAAGGCCACUGCUGACACCACAAGCUCGUUUACUUUGGGAGAAGUUUGAAGAUGUUUCUUGGAGAAUCAUCGAACUCUAAUGAGGGACCAGAACUGUAGGAU